UACGUAGGGGGCAAGCGUUGUCCGGAUUCAUUGGGCGUAAAGAGCGUGUAGGCGGCCAGGUAGGUCUGGUGUGAAAACUCGAGGCUUAACCUCGAGAUGUCAUCGGAAACCAUCUGGCUAGAGUCCGGAAGAGGAGAGUGGAAUUCCUGGUGUAGCGGUGAAAUGCGCAGAUAUCAGGAGGAACACCAAUUGCGAAGGCAGCUCGCUGGGACGUUACUGACGCUGAGACGCGAAAGCGUGGGGAGCAAACAGG
rnacentral:rRNA from 1 species